GAUGAACGCCGGCGGCGUGCCUAAUACAUGCAAGUCGAGCGAAUGGAUUAAGAGCUUGCUCUUAUGAAGUUAGCGGCGGACGGGUGAGUAACACGUGGGUAACCUGCCCAUAAGACUGGGAUAACUCCGGGAAACCGGGGCUAAUACCGGAUAACAUUUUGAACCGCAUGGUUCGAAAUUGAAAGGCGGCUUCGGCUGUCACUUAUGGAUGGACCCGCGUCGCAUUAGCUAGUUGGUGAGGUAACGGCUCACCAAGGCAACGAUGCGUAGCCGACCUGAGAGGGUGAUCGGCCACACGGGGACUGAGACACGGCCCAGACUCCUACGGGAGGCAGCAGUAGGGAGUCUUCCGCAAUGGACGAAAGUCUGACGGAGCAACGCCGCGUGAGUGAUGAAGGCUUUCGGGUCGUAAAACUCUGUUGUUAGGGAAGAACAAGUGCUAGUUGAAUAAGCUGGCACCUUGACGGUACCUAACCAGAAAGCCACGGCUAACUACGUGCCAGCCGCCGCGGUAA
rnacentral:rRNA from 1 species